rnacentral:snoRNA from 1 species
AUUCGGGUUGAUAACUAGGCGACGAUCUCGAUCAUUAAAACCACUCUACGACGUCCGCCCUUUAAAUGCCCGAUAGAUAAUUUUUUGGCGUUGAUCUUACAAGUUUCCUGUCUAUUUUUUUUUAAUUACUGUGGUUGGUAACAUUUAAUUCAUCGCCACAUUA